rnacentral:rRNA from 1 species
GAGUUCAGACUCGUGGCGAAUAGCUCAGUAACACGUGGCCAAACUACCCUUCGGAACACAAUACCCUCGGGAAACUGAGGCUAAUAGUGUAUACCACAGUCCACCUGGAAUGAGGACUGUGCCAAACGCUCCGGCGCCGAAGGAUGUGGCUGCGGCCGAUUAGGUAGACGGUGGGGUAACGGCCCACCGUGCCAAUAAUCGGUACGGGUCAUGAGAGUGAGAACCCGGAGACGGAAUCUGAGACAAGAUUCCGGGCCCUACGGGGCGCAGCAGGCGCGAAACCUUUACACUGCACGACAGUGCGAUAAGGGAAUCCCAAGUGCGUAGGCAUAGAGCCUACGCUUUUGUCCACCGUAGGGAGGUGGACGAAUAAGGGCUGGGCAAGACCGGUGCCAGCCGCCGCGGUAAUACCGGCAGCCCGAGUGAUGGCCGAUCUUAUUGGGCCUAAAGCGUCCGUAGCUGGCCGCACAAGUCCAUCGGAAAAUCCACCCGCUCAACGGGUGGGCGUCCGGUGGAAACUGUGUGGCUUGGGACCGGAAGGCGCGACGGGUACGUCCGGGGUAGGAGUGAAAUCCCGUAAUCCUGGACGGACCGCCGAUGGCGAAAGCACGUCGCGAGAACGGAUCCGACAGUGAGGGACGAAAGCUAGGGUCUCGAACCGGAUUAGAUACCCGGGGUAGUCCUAGCCGUAAACAAUGCCUGCUAGGUGUGGCUCCCACUACGAGUGGGUGCUGUGCCGUAGGGAAGCCG